rnacentral:lncRNA from 1 species
CUGAAUAUCACCUUCAAAACGACAAGUUUAAGCUGGGAGACUGUGGUCCUGGAGCUGUUGGUGUGUAUCUCUGCUAUUACUUGGGAAGAGAAGACUUCAGAACAAAGCCAACACAAAGGAAAACCGAGGCAAGGUGCAGACAGAUUGCUGACAACAUCAUCUGAGCCCCUGGUGUGGCUGGGCCUGAAGCAACAUCCACCUCUGUUCUUUCCAGUUACAAGAGGCAACAAAUCCCCAUUUCUGCCUAAACCUUAGGUUGGGUUUCUGUCUUUUGCAAUAAAAAGUAUUGUUUAAUGGUAUCUGAAGCCUGUCUUUCCAAUUCACUAAUGAAAGCUUUCUUCCUUCCCAGGGAAAUGUCUGGGGGAAAGACUGGCAUUAGGUUGAAAGAAAUGGUGAGACUUCCUGCUGGCUGGUCCCAAUUCCCUCACUCCUGGAGAUAUCUUUAAGAAUUACAGUGCCGGCCGGGCGCAGUGGCUCACGCCUGUAAUCCCAGCACUUUGGGAGGCCGAGGUAGGCGGAUCACGAGGUCAGGAGAGCGAGACCAUCUUGGCUAACACAGUGAAACCCCGUCUCUGCUAAAAAUACAAAAAGUUAGCCAGGUGAGGUGGUAGGCGCCUGUAGUCCCAGCUACUCAGGA